CGGCGAGUGAAGCGGCAACAGCUCAAAUUUGAAAUCUGGCCCUUGGGUCCGAAUUGUAAUUUGUAGAGGAUGAUUUUGGUGCGGUAUCUUCCGAGUUCCUUGGAACAGGACGCCUUAGAGGGUGAGAGCCCCGUACGGUUGAAUGCCUAGCCUCUGUAAAUCUCCUUCGACGAGUCGAGUAGUUUGGGAAUGCUGCUCUAAAUGGGAGGUAAAUUUCUUCUAAAGCUAAAUAUUGGCCAGAGACCGAUAGCGCACAAGUAGAGUGAUCGAAAGAUGAAAAGCACUUUGAAAAGAGGGUUAAAUAGCACGUGAAAUUGUUGAAAGGGAAGGAUUUGUGACCAGACUUUUUCUGGGCGGAUCAUCCGGGGUUCUCUCCGGUGCACUUCGCCCAGUAAAGGCCAGCAUCGGUUUUCGGCGUGGGAUAAAAGCAGUAGGAAUGUGGCUCUCUACGGGGAGUGUUAUAGCCUAUUGUAUAAUACCGCGCUGGGGACCGAGGUUCGCGCUUCUGCAAGGAUGCUGGCGUAAUGGUUAUCAAUCACCCGUCUUGAAACACGGACCAAGGAGUCGAACAUUUGUGCGAGUGUUUGGGUGUUAAACCCUCACGCGUAAUGAAAGUGAACGGAGGUGAGAGCCCUUACGGGUGCAUCAUCGACCGAUCCUGAAGUUUUCGGAUGGAUUUGAGUAAGAGCAUAACUGUUCGGACCCGAAAGAUGGUGAACUAUGCGUGGAUAGGGUGAAGCCAGAGGAAACUCUGGUGGAGGCUCGCAGCGGUUCUGACGUGCAAAUCGAUCGUCAAAUCUGCGCAUGGGGGCGAAAGACUAAUCGAACC
rnacentral:rRNA from 1 species